GAUGAACGCUGGCGGUAUGCUUAACACAUGCAAGUCGAACGGACUCUUCGGAGUUAGUGGCGGACGGGUGUGUAACGCGUGAGAAUCUGGCUUUGGGUUCGGGACAACCACUGGAAACGGUGGCUAAUACCGGAUGUGCCGAGAGGUAAAAGAGAAAUUGCCUGAAGAUGAGCUCGCGUCUGAUUAGCUAGUUGGUGAGGUAAAGGCUCACCAAGGCAGCGAUCAGUAGCUGGUCUGAGAGGAUGACCAGCCACACUGGGACUGAGACACGGCCCAGACUCCUACGGGAGGCAGCAGUGGGGAAUGAUCCGCAAUGGGCGAAAGCCUGACGGAGCAAUACCGCGUGAGGGAAGAAGGCUCUUGGGUUGUAAACCUCUUUACGUAGGGAAGAACAAAAUGACGGUACCUAAGGAAUCAGCAUCGGCUAACUCCGUG
rnacentral:rRNA from 1 species